rnacentral:rRNA from 1 species
AUGGCGCUCUAGCGAAAGACCUAUACUUUACUGUUAUAUUAUGUUGAAAACACAAUAUAACAUGUAGGAGGGUGUAGUAGUUAGCGUUGAAGGUUUUCAUUGUAAAAUGGACUGGAGCUUCUACUAGUGCAGAUCUUGGUGAUAGUAGCAAACAUUCAAGUGAGAUCCUUGAAGGCCGAAGUGAAAAAGGUUUCCACGUGAACAGUAUUUGAAUGUGGGUCAGUCGGUCCUAAGGAAAUUGCGCAUGCAAUUUUAAUUAUGUGUGUUUUCAUAUUUAUAUGGAUCCGCAUGUUUUCCGAAAGGGAAGUAGAUUAAUAUUUCUACACUAUGAGAAUACGAUUAUAUUUUUUUUAUAUCUUUACGGAUAUUUAAAAAUAUAAGGGGCGGUAACGUUAUAUGAACUCAUAUACGUCAUAUAUAGUUCAGAAUAGAGAUCUCUUCUCUAUUUAAGAAAUUUUGUCCAUGGAAUGAGAUCAUCUCGAGAUAUGGAUAAAGGUUUUGAAAAGCAUAACGGUUUUUGUUAUGUUCUGAGUGCUAUAUAUGGCCCUUGAAAAUAUGAGGGAUCCCUAAUAAUGUAUUCCAUAGCCGUACCUUAUUCCGCAUCAGGUUUUCAAGGUGAAUAGCCUCUGGUCGAUAGAAUAAUGUAGGUAAGGGAAGUCGGCAAAUUAGAUCCGUAACUUCGGGAAAAGGAUUGGCUCUAAGAAUCGAGUAUAUUGGGUUUUUGAAUGAAACUUUAUGAAAUAGAUCAUGUUUGAGGGAUGCUUCGGCUGAACUUGGACUAGUGUUUAUUUUAUUUUGUGGAAUUUUUAAACUUGUUUUUCUUUACGGUUUAACGUCAAUAUACAUUUAACGAUUAGCUUAGAACUGACACGGACUCGGGGAAUCCGACUGUCUAAUUAAAACAGAGCAAACAGAAGGCGUUUAUGUGCGUUGACUGUUUGUGAUUUCUGCCCAGUGCUCUGAAUGUUAAUCUAAAGAAAUUUAUAUAAGCGCGGGUAAACGGCGGGAGUAACUAUGACUCUCUUAAGGUAGCCAAAUGCCUCGUCAGAUAAGUCCUGACGCGCACGAAUGGAUUAACGAGAUUCCCACUGUCCCUAUCUACUAUCUAGCGAAAUCACAGCCAAGGGAACGGGCUUGGCAAAUACAGCGGGGAAAGAAGACCCUAUUGAGCUUGACUCUAGUCUGACUUUGUGAAGAGUCAUAAGAGGUGUAGUAUAAGGGGGACAUUCUUUCGGGGAUGGCCAGUGAAAUACCCCUACUUUUAUCGACUCUUUACUUAUUCAGUAAUACAGAAAUUGUCUUUGGACAGUCUUUUUGAUUUAAAUAAUAAUAUUUGAUAUUGUUAUGAUCUGCACUGAUGACAUUGUCAGGCGGGGAGUUUGACUGGGGCGGUACAUCUGUCAAAUAGUAACGCAGGUGUCCUAAGGAAUACUCAGUGAGGACAGAAACCUCACGUAGACUAAAAGGAGAAAAGUAUUCUUGAUCUUGAUUCUCAGUACGAAUACAGACCGUUAAAGCGUGGCCUAUCGAUCCUUUUGGAUUAUGAAGUUUAUAACAAGAGGUGUCAGAAAAGUUACCAUAGGGAUAACUGGCUUGUGGCAGCCAAGCGUCCAUAGCGACGUUGCUUUUUGAUCCUUCGAUGUCGGCUCUUCC